rnacentral:rRNA from 1 species
UACGUAGGGUGCAAGCGUUGUCCGGAAUUAUUGGGCGUAAAGAGCGUGUAGGCGGCCCGAUUAGUCCGCUGUGAAAGUCCAGGGCUCAACCCUGGAAUGCCGGUGGAUACUGUCGGGCUAGAGUCCGGAAGGGGCGAGUGGAAUUCCUGGUGUAGCGGUGAAAUGCGCAGAUAUCAGGAGGAACACCAGUAGCGAAGGCGGCUCGCUGGGCCGUCCCUGACGCUGAGACGCGAAAGCUAGGGGAGCAAACAGG